GAAAACAUGGCUCAGGAUGGGAAAGCACCUCAGAGGGGCCGGGUGGCCUGCUGGAGGAGGAGAGGAUGCCUGCACCAAGUCUUCAAAGAUAACUGCCUUGGGCAGUUCCAGAAAUGCACACAGGACUGUGUGGCCUGGGGCCUGUGCUCUCAGAAGCAGCAUCAUCUGCCAGGUCAAUGUGAAAUCCCCAGCCCUGGGCAUUCACGCACAACACUCAAGUGAUCUCAUGCAUUCCUGGGUGACAGCGCCGGGGCCACAGCCCCCAUAGGCAGGAGCCAGCGCCAGGGGCCGUCCCAGCAAAUGCGAGGUGGUGCUCUGAGAUCAUCGUCAUGAGAGCUGCCAUCUCUGCAACGUGCCAGGUCUGGGGCCCGUGGCCCACACGCACCUUCUCACAUGUUCCCCCGGCGACACCUGGGGGAAAUAUCCACGCCUCCAUCGUGCUGCGGAGAGAACUAAAGCACAGAGAGCACCAAAAAAAGGGGAAGAAAGAAAAGCAAGAACGUCUCUUUGUGAGGAGGAUGAACCACCGGGGGGAACGUGGACGCCCAGCGGGUUUGCCGGGACUCGUCUCGGGGAAAGUCAGCGGCUCUCUGCCUCCCGUGGGGAGGCUUCGGGACGGGAUGGGAAGGACGAGGGGGUGUGAGCCGGGUCAGCCUAACCCAGGUGGAAACAGCUGUGGCCCUUCCCCUCCGCAGCUGCACGGCCAGAGCUGGGGGAGAUGAACCUCACUUUGCGAAGGGCCUCUGAACUUCCAGUCUAACCAGCGAGGGAAAGAAGAAAACCCAGGGGGGGGGGGGGGGGGGGGGGGCGCUAAAUGACCACGUGACCCGGGAUGCCGACCCCGGGGGAUUCCAGCCAGAUCCUCAGGGACUCAGAAGGAAGCAAGGGCUGGUGUCUGCCACCCUCCCCCCCGCCCCCCAGAGGACUCGGAGGUUGGAUGUCCCCGGGGAGAAGGCAGGGCUAGGGUGGGCGGAGGGCAGGGGCCGGGUACAGAUGGAGAGAUGGAGGCCGAGGACAGGAUGCUGGACACUGGCUGUGAGGAUGUGGGUUCAAACCCUGCUCUGUGCUCAGCCCGGGCCGCUUGAGGGCGGGGCAGACCCAGUGUGGAAGGUGCUGUUCUGGGCAAGAGAUGCUCGGGGUGGAAGAGACGCCCCAGGCUGGUUCUGGAACAGAGAACUGGAGACGGGCAGCCGGACGGAGCAGGAACGGCCUCUCUAGCUUUUCAGCUGUACAGCCUGGGAUCCUCUUUUGUAAAAUUAUCCGGUGUUGGUUGCUUUUUUCUGUCCAGUGAGGGCUCCUGGUUCCUCUGAUCAGAGAUGGUACCCGGAGCCCUAGGCCUGGCCGCUGAAAAUCCUCCAUCCUGGGCCAGCGUGAUUGGGCCAAGGAACGGGCACGUGACCACGCACGACCAAUCGGAGCCCUUCCCUGGACCGAGCCCCGGCCCCAGGAGAAAGAGGCUCUCCUGCCCGUGGCUGAGCAGGGGCUCCCCAGAGUCUGGGUCUUGGCCUCCAGGAAAUGGCACAGCAGCAGGAGGAGAAAAACAAGGCCGCCGGCAGAGAGAGGAAGGGACGGGCCGUUGACUGGCUGGCACCCACAUUGCUUCCUGCAGUUCUGGGCCUUUGGCAUUAGGCUCCUCGGUUUUCCCUUAAGGCCCUUUGAGUUGGCUUCUGCCUCUGACCAUUGAGCCAACCUGACUGAUCAGACUGUAGCUGGGAUUUCGCAGAGGGCAAAGCACCUUGGGAAGGGAGAAAGGAAAGAACCCUGAUUCUGCGCCUGCUGUAUAUUAGGCACCACGCCGGGGGAUCUGUUCCAGCGCUCAUAACCACCUUGGAAAUUAAAUAUUAGUAUUGCCUGCAAAGAGCCUGGGGCACAGAGAAGCAAAGUCACUUGCUCAAGGGCACACAGGCAGCAAAUGCCAGAGAUGCCCAGCCUGUGCUCCAGCCACAGCUGUUCCCCAGGCGUGCCGGGAGCUCUCCGGGUGCUGUGCCAUGCCAGGCUCCUGGUGUUCCUUCUGCCUGGAACGUCCUCCCCUCCUUGUCCACCAACUUAGCUGACAUCUUACCUUUCUCACCUUAGUUUUCUGUGACUCACAAUAUGCCCCCCCCCCCCCAACACACACGUGCCUGGCCCUUAACCCAGGUGCACUCUGUGCUCCCUGCCCUGGUCAAGGUCGUCGAUCCUGGAGGGAUGUGCAGGACUACAGCGGGAUUACAGGCCCCAUGCCCCUCCCUGCACAGACUCAGAGCCGCAGCAUCCCUGUGCGGCCCAGGCGCUUGGCCACCCCGAAAGAGGGUUUGACACAGUCAUUCACUUCUUUGCCUUUAAAGGAAAUGCCAGUAAACAGCUCUUCUGCUCUGACCCGAGCACAGACGGCGGGAUUUGAGGCCCUCGAGAGAGGGUGUCUGCAGGUCAGGGAGCCUCUGAGAAGUCUCCCGGUCACUGCGCGCGAUGAGAGGCUGCCCUCGGGUGGACCCGCAGCCGGCCUCCCCGCCCCCCCCCGGGCUCCAGCUGUUUUGAGAGUACAGAUGGGAUGGGUCGGGGUGGGGUCGGGAGAGAAAGCAGAUCCCGAACCUGGGGAGUGUCUCCCGCACGGCCAGGGCUGUAAUAUGCUGGCCCCCGAUAGUUCCCUGAGCAAGAAAAUUUCAGCCAAAAACCGGGGGACUUUUCCAUCUGGACAACAUCAGAUUCCUGUCUCAUUCAGGCUCAACGUAAACAAGGUGGGGCGGGAGUGGGGAGCAUUGGGUGACGAUGUGGGAGAGGGCUCGUCUCCAUCCCACCCCCACCCGCUGGGACCAGGAGCAGCAGCUCCCCAAGCCGAGCCCCAGAGCCGCAUCUCAGAGGGCGAGCCGGGGACCAGAUGCUCAGGAAGUCCCUCCCAGCUCUGCCCAUCGCAGCACCCACGGUGUGAAGGGGGCAACCUCACCAUGGCCGGGGGUGUGGGUGGGACCUCCACCAAAUUCCUGACCAUAAACCAGGCAAGCUGAGGCCUCAGCGAAGACUGGGACAUUGAUCUUUGUUAGGCCACCUCAAGAACACCCACCAACCAGCCAGGAUUCCAGGAGCCAGGUGGUCCUGCGUGAAAUCCCAGCUCCCCACCCUGUUGCUGUGUGACCUUGGCCCCCUGAGGCUGAGUCUCAGUUUCCAUUUCCGCCCCCAGGGUUUCCCAGGCCCCACCGUGGUCAGGGCCACGUUAUGACUUGUGUGGGCCCCGGGCACUUUGUCUUCCUGGCCCCUUACUCUAUAAAAAUUUACUAAAAAUGAUACCUUGGGACUGCAUUGGUAUAAAGAUGAAUGUAUUCAAAGUAGAUUAUAUUAAUUAUUUUUUAUGAUUUUACAAGAAAUGAGCACAUUUUCUUGGGCCCCUGAACGUCUAAGUGGGCCCUGGGCAUUGUGCCGCUGGUGCCUAGUGGAUGCCAGCCCUGGGUCCUGUGAUGUUUCUGACACACAAUUGUGCAACCUCAUAGCAGCUACUGAAUCGAGCUUCACACACCCCAGGGUGCACCCCUCUUUCUGACCAUCUUUGGGGAAGCCCUGUUGAGAUCAGCGUCUCCCACAGUGGGUUGGGGCUUGGAGACUGGGAGUCCCCGGGGGGUGAGGGGCUGGAUUAGGUCAGGUGAGGCUGGGGCCUGCUGAUUUUCAGUGCAGUCAGAUCCAGGGAGCCGGGUGGCUUGUGUUCCGGAGAACUGGGCAUCUGACUCCAGCACAUGUGG
rnacentral:lncRNA from 1 species